rnacentral:lncRNA from 1 species
AUGCAAAUUGAUUGUACAAACCAUGAAUUAAAUCAACCCCUUCAUUUCCAGUCCCCAUCCUCGAGUUUUGCAAUCUCACAACCGUCCACUCCGUGGAUGCCCUCCUCUUCGUGAUGCGUUACAAUCAAUCGAUCUCAAAUUCAGAUUCACAAUCUCCAACACCAACAGAAAUCAAAUCCAAUGGAGAAUAUGGUUCAAGAGGGCACUUUCAAAUCUGGUUUUAGAGAGAGACUAGAGAAGUAGAGACAACCGGAAAGAUGCGACAGAAAGAUAAGAGAGAGAAGCCGCCGCACCAGCGAGCCACAUGCGGCGGUUUCCAUCGCCCCCUCUACUCUUUAAGAAAUAGGUGUAAAUAUGGCAAAUAUCAAUCUUCAGAUUAUCCAUUGAUUCUGCUCUAAUCUCUUCAAGGAAGAUGAUCAUGAUAGCACCUACCACUCUUCAACUUUACCUAUAGGACUUCAGUGAUUUCUAUGACUUCAAUCACAAAGCCACUGAAGUUUUAGCGUCUGCAUUAUGGAACCUUGAAAUUAUAUUAUAAGAUGACAGAGUUAAAGGUGCAGAAAUUGCUUGGGCAUAUACUAUCGGUUCUGGCGUUGACAAUGUCUUCAAAGGGUGAUCAGGUAAGGGUGGCGUGUGCCUGUAUUUUAAUAUCACUUCGAAAAUUUUUCUAGCAUGUGGUAAAAUGCAUUGCUGAUUGGUUUAACGUGUGUUAUGUAAUUUCAUAUGUUUAAGGAAUUUUAUAAUCUGUUGGUAUAGGGUGAAUGUAUUCGUUAUUGUUUAAUCAUCAGAGUUUGUUUUGCUACCGAGUAUAAUGAGGCCAUUUUGUUAGUGCAACCUUUGGUUACAGAAAAGGGUUGUAGUUAGAACAUUCUUGGCGGCUACACGGGUGUCAAUGAGGCAGCUGAUCUGGUGGUAAUAGGUGGUUGAUAUGGCGGUGAUGUGAGAGUGUAAAAGGCUGCAUUUAGUGACCAAACGACAGCGAAGAACAUCGGUAUUGAGCUGCUAAAAUAGUGCAGCGAACAGGACAGCAACGUCGUGCAUUCAGGCGCGCUUUUGGGAUCAAAACAUUCAGUGUUUGGGUUCACAACCGCUUUUCGGGUUCGGGUUUGUGUUAGAUUUCCAGGUUUGCGCUGCAUUGGGUCAGUAUGGUACGUUUGUUUUAAAAGCUGGUUGAAUAGAAGUCUCAAAUGGGUUUGGCUUAAUAAGGGUUAAAAGAGCUUAAUUGAAAAAAAGAAGCAAAAACACAGCAAAAUCUAACAUAAAUACAAGAAAAGGAAUAAACGUGGCAUGC